rnacentral:ncRNA from 1 species
GCGCUCUGGAGAAGCCCAAUGACGGGGUGCCGAAGGUGUAAACGGGAAACCGCGAUCUCUCAGGCAAAAGGACAGAGAA